UACGUAGGUGGCAAGCGUUUAUCCGGAAUUAUUGGGCGUAAAGCGCGCGCAGGUGGUUUCUUAAGUCUGAUGUGAAAGCCCACGGCUCAACCGUGGAGGGUCAUUGGAAACUGGGAGACUUGAGUGCAGAAGAGGAAAGUGGAAUUCCAUGUGUAGCGGUGAAAUGCGUAGAGAUAUGGAGGAACACCAGUGGCGAAGGCGACUUUCUGGUCUGUAACUGACAC
rnacentral:rRNA from 1 species